GACGAACGCUGGCGGCGUGCUUAACACAUGCAAGUCGAACGGAAAGGCCCUGCUUUUGUGGGGUGCUCGAGUGGCGAACGGGUGAGUAACACGUGAGUAACCUGCCCUUGACUUUGGGAUAACUUCAGGAAACUGGGGCUAAUACCGGAUAGGAGCUCCUGCUGCAUGGUGGGGGUUGGAAAGUUUCGGCGGUUGGGGAUGGACGCGCGGCUUAUCAGCUUGUUGGUGGGGUAGUGGCUUACCAAGGCUUUGACGGGUAGCCGGCCUGAGAGGGUGACCGGCCACAUUGGGACUGAGGUACGGCCCAGACGGCUACGGGAGGCAGCAGUGGGGAAUAUUGCACGAUGGGCGGAAUCCUUAUGCAGCAACGCCGCAUGCGGGAUGACGGCCUUCGGGUUGUAAACCGCUUGCGCCUGUGACGAAGCGUGAGUGACGGUAAUGGGUAAAGAAGCACCGGCUAACUACGUG
rnacentral:rRNA from 1 species